UUAGAGUUUGAUCAUGGCUCAGAAUCAACGCUGGCGGCGUGCCUAAUAUAUGCAAGUCGAACGCGAAAGCCCCGCAAGGGGUAAGUAGAGUGGCAAACGGGUGAGUAACACGUGGGUGACCUGCCUUCGAGCGGGGGAUAACGUCCCGAAAGGGACGCUAAUACCGCAUAACAUCCUGCCUUUGAAGAGGCGGUGAUCAAAGCUGGGGAUCGCAAGACCUAGCACUCGAAGAGGGGCCCGCGUCCGAUUAGCUUGUUGGUGGGGUAAUGGCACACCAAGGCUACGAUCGGUAGCCGGCCUGAGAGGGCGGACGGCCACACUGGGACUGAGACACGAGCUAGACUCCUACGGGAGGCAGCAGUGGGGAAUUGUUCGCAAUGGGCGCAAGCCUGACGACGCAACGCCGCGUGGAGGAUGAAGAUCUUCGGGUCGUAAACUCCUUUCGAUCGAGACGAAUUCCUCUGGGGUGAACAAUCCCGGAGGUUGACAGUACCGAGAGAAGAAGCCCCGGCUAACUCCGUGCCAGCAGCCGCGGUAAUACGGGGGGGGCAAGCGUUGUUCGGAAUUACUGGGCGUAAAGGGCUCGUAGGUGGCCAACUAAGUCGGACGUGAAAUCCCUCGGCUUAACCGGGGAACUGCGUCCGAUACUGGUUGGCUUGAGUUUGGGAGAGGGAUGCGGAAUUCCAGGUGUAGCGGUGGAAUGCGUAGAUAUCUGGAGGAACACCGGUGGCGAUGCGGCAUCCUGGACCAAUACUGACGCUGAGGAGCGAAAGCCAGGGGAGCAAACGGGAUUAGAUACCCCGGUAGUCCUGGCCCUAAACCGAUGAAUGCUUGGUGUGGCGGGUUUCGAUCCCUGCCGUGCCGAAGCUUCC
rnacentral:rRNA from 1 species